GACGCACCGUGCAAGCGUUGUUCGGAAUCACUGGGCUUAAAGGGCGCGUAGGCGGUUUACUAAGUCCGUGGUGAAAUCUUUCGGCUUAACCGGAGAAAUGCCAUUGAUACUGGCAAGCUUGAGGGAGGUAGAGGUUGCUGGAACUUAUGGUGGAGCGGUGAAAUGCGUUGAUAUCGGAAGGAACGCCGGUGGUGAAAGCAGGCUACGGGGCCUCUACUGACGCUGAGGCGCGAAAGCCAGGGGAGCAAACGGG
rnacentral:rRNA from 1 species